CUUUAGUGGCGCAGCUAACGCGAUAAGUAGACCGCCUGGGGAGUACGUUCGCAAGACUCUAACUCAAAUGAAUUGACGGGGGCCCGCACAAGCGGUGGAGCAUGUGGUUUAAUUCGAUGCAACGCGAAGAACCUUACCUGGCCUUGACAUAGUAGAAACUUUCCAGAGAUGGAUUGGUGCCUUCGGGAAUCUACAUACAGGUGCUGCAUGGCUGUCGUCAGCUCGUGUCGUGAGAUGUUGGGUUAAGUCCCGCAACGAGCGCAACCCUUUUCCUUACUUGCCAGCAUUUCGGAUGGGAACUUUAAGGAUACUGCCAGUGACAAACUGGAGGAAGGCGGGGACGACGUCAAGUCAUCAUGGCCCUUACGGCCAGGGCUACACACGUGCUACAAUGGUUGGUACAAAGGGUUGCUACCUAGCGAUAGGAUGCUAAUCUCAAAAAGCCGAUCGUAGUCCGGAUCGCAGUCUGCAACUCGACUGCGUGAAGUCGGAAUCGCUAGUAAUCGCGGAUCAGAAUGCCGCGGUGAUACGUUCCCGGG
rnacentral:rRNA from 1 species